rnacentral:rRNA from 1 species
ACACUGUUCAUGGGUUACCGCGGCUGCUGGCACGGAGUUAGCCGGUGCUUCUUCUGUGAGUGAUGUCCUUCCUGCCGGCUAUUAACCCGCAGGCCUUCUUCCUCACUGAAAGUGCUUUACAACCCGAAGGCCUUCUUCACACACGCGGCAUGGCUGGAUCAGGGUUGCCCCCAUUGUCCAAUAUUCCCCACUGCUGCCUCCCGUAGGAGUCUGGGCCGUGUCUCAGUCCCAGUGUGGCUGAUCAUCCUCUCAGACCAGCUACGGAUCGUCGCCUUGGUGAGCCGUUACCUCACCAACCAGCUAAUCCGACAUAGGCUCAUCCGAUAGCGCGAGGCCCGAAGGUCCCCCGCUUUCCCCCGUAGGGCGUAUGCGGUAUUAGCCUGGGUUUCCCCCAGGUUAUCCCCCACUACCGGGGCAGAUUCCUAUGCAUUACUCACCCGUCCGCCGCUCGCCACCAGGGAGCAAGCUCCCCGUGCUGCCGCUCGACUUGCAUGUGUUAGG